ACGCUCGACACCUACGGAGGCAGCAGUGGGGAAUAUUGCACAAUGGGGGAAACCCUGAUGCAGCGACGCCGCGUGGAGGAAGAAGGUCUUCGGAUUGUAAACUCCUGUUGUUGGGGAAAAAGAGGAUGGUACCCAACAAGGAAGUGACGGCUAACUACGUGCUAGCAGCCGCGGUAAUCUGAGCGGGCUGGCAAGGC
rnacentral:rRNA from 1 species